GUGUUUGUGUGUGUGUGUCGUGGACCGGCACCGGUUUUGGUGUGAGUGGUAUAGUGUGGAGCGUGUGUGGUCGAGAUGUGCAGAGAGUAGAUGAAAGGACGUGCGAGGAUGUUGGAGCAAUGCCCCGACGAGCGUGGAUCGCAUAGCGGAAUGGUGGAUAUCGUUGGGUGAGUAGGUCGGUGUAUGUGAAAGGGAGCGGGUCUUGGUGCACGGGAGUGCGCGUUGGGUGUGGGAAGGCGCGAUGGGAUGGGCUCGAGGUGGGAGGUCGGAGGGGUCCUCCUGUGGCAGGGAGGCAAGGAGGCGUGAGCAUGGGUGGGGUGUGUUGGGCGUGGUCAGGAGUGGGAAUCUUAGUGGAGUGCAUCGUGUGGGCGAUGGCCGGGGCAAGUGAGUGGGGGUUGCGGUGAGUACGAAGUGAGGAUGCGUUCGGGUUUGCGAGGCGGUGAUGCUGAGUUAGCAGGGGACAGCAUUUGAGUUAUUUGGUGCGGGUGAGGUCGGGGUGGCAGAAAGCACGAAUGUUGGUAGCGUAGAAGUUGGAUGGAAGUACAUGGUGGGUAGGGGUGUAUCAGAGUGUGCUAUGGAAUGCUGUUUUGAGUGACAUGGGGAUGUUAUUGGAUGCUUUGAUUGGCAACGUGCUAUCGGGUGCUGCGAUUGAGCAGAUUACGGUAGUUUUGGAGAUAGUUUGAAUGAUGCAAUCAGAGUUCAGGGAUGCGACAUUCACGGUGUCGUGUCGUGUCGUCUUGUUUCUUUUUUUCGUCUGACUAGUGCCGAAUUUGCGUGUUUCUGCAGUAAAUAUCUGGUUGCACAAAAAUUGUAGGAGAAGUUUUUACAAACACAUGGUGGAUGCAGAAGCAUCUGUAGGCACUUGUAGAAUCAAUUUGUAAGUACAAAGUGGUUGGAAUGUUUCACCAAUAGGAAACAGCGUCACAGCAUGUGUUUGUUUGUUCUUGCUUUUUGUUAUCUGUUUUUAUGUAGUCGUGUUAUUGAGGUGUUUGCGUGGAAACAAAGUUUUUUGCUCAAAUAUGUGGAUUAAGUUGGGAAUGCUAGAGAAGUGAAAUCUUGAAUGAAUUCGAUGUAAUGGCCAUAUUUUGGUGUGUAUGAGUUGAAUCCACUUCCAUCCUUUGGAAGAAGUGAGAAGCGUUUUGAUGGAAGUAUUCCAAGUAUUUAGUUAUGUUUGAUAUCUGACAAAUUUGAAGUUUUGUUUUAAAUGCAUCACAUCAUAAUUCUUUUUUAUUGUUUUCAAGAAAAACUCGAAGUAUUAUUAACUGGGUUUUGUUAUUGUUUCCGUGGGGUGUGGACGCGAAUCAGAAACGGAAAUUCUGAGUAACUUCCAUCAUCAUUCGAAAUGUUUUUUUGUUUGUUUACAACAGUAUUGGUGUCAUUCGCUGGCUUCGUGUGACAUAGUUUCUUGUAAAUCUUGCUAUCCCUACAAUUACUAGGGUUGCAAGUUUUAGACCAACUCCAAGAUGCUUCUUUUUGAGUUGAACAUUAGGUUAGGGCUUGCAAGACGACAUGGCAAAAUAGGGUGGGAAUGAUAAAAAUUCUGAGUGGAAAUAACAAUAAUCUGUUAAUAUCAUCCUUCAUCCAAAAUAUACACUGUAGAAAUGCAUGUAUGUCUUUUAUUUUUGUAUAAGAAACAUAACUUACAAGUGAUUUUUGAAAAUGAAUAUGUACGAAAUAUGUGGUAUUUGGUAUUGAAUAAGAUAUAAAGAAUUUUCUUUUGUUAGCUUAUGUAACUGCAUCAUACAAUGUCAUUAAGUAUUUCAAACCAAUUGUGUAAAUUAUUUAGAACUUAUAAAUUCUAUAAUGUCUAAUAUCAAAUAUAUUUUUAUACUUGACUAGCAAUCUUAAGUCAUUUGAUUAUAAUAUUUAUUUAUAUGGAUUAUAAUUACAAACAAUACUACUCAAAAUUAUAAAUAGAAUAGAGUUUACAUCUUUCAUGGCAUUAAUUUAAUUGUUGAUUUAAGUUGGAAUCUAGAUCUUUUGUAACUGCAAUGUAGUUUUUAUAAAUAUCUUCAUAAAAGAAUGUUUUUAAUUUUUGAGUUUUGUAUUCAACCUUUUAGUAGUAGCAAAAGAAACCUUUGUAGUAUUUGAUAAGUGUUGUGUAUGACAUUUUGCUACAAUAAGAACCAUUUUAAAAAGCAUUUUGACCAGUAGUUUUCUUUUACAUAAAAAACUCAUUGUACCUAUGUAGUGUAAACAAGCAAUAUCUUGUUGUUAGCAUUAGGAUAUUUUUUGGAUUAAAAAGUUUGGACUUGACUUUAAUAUCUUUGUACUUUCUUUUUUCUAUUCAUAAAUCUAUAAAUCUAUUUUUAGAAGUAAAAUAAUGUUGUUUCUUUACAAGUAGAAGUAUUUAACAAGUAACUUUGUAUACAAUAUAUUUUGACUUUACAAAAAGAAUGUAUUACCAAAGUUAAACUUCUUGUAAUAUUAAACAUUGACCUUAUACCAUUUUCCCAAUAGAUUUAUUUCCACAUCUCAAGUGCAUAAGUAACAUGCAUAAUUAGACAUAGACUUCUAAAUACAACUAAAAUUGUUUUGUAAAUUAAUUUAAUAUAUCUCUUUUCCAACAAUAACACAUCUUUUGAUUGUUUAUGAAUGUGGCUAAUGCAUUACUACAAAGAUAGGCUUUUUCUACCAUUUAUGAAUAUUUUACUCAAAUACAUGUUUUAUAGUUGACAAAGAAUCCAAUGUACAAGUAUCCAUUCUUAUUGCAAUGCAUACAAACUAUAUUAUUCACUUCAUCUUCUCUUCCCAAAUAUGUUAAUGCAAAAAAUUCUCUAAAAAAUUCAUUAACAUCUAUUUUUAAUCUGUUCCAAUAUCA
rnacentral:lncRNA from 1 species